AACAGUGGAGUCCAGGUCCCACUUUAAAAAACGGGGUGAAAUCGAAAAACCUUACGAGUAGAAUAUA
rnacentral:ncRNA from 1 species